rnacentral:rRNA from 1 species
AGUGAACGCUGGCGGUAGGCCUAACACAUGCCAGUCGAACGGCAGCACAGUAAGAGCUUGCUCUUACGGGUGGCGAGUGGCGGACGGGUGAGGAAUACAUCGGAAUCUACUUUUUCGUGGGGGAUAACGUAGGGAAACUUACGCUAAUACCGCAUACGACCUACGGGUGAAAGCAGGGGAUCUUCGGACCUUGCGCUAUUGAAUGAGCCGAUGUCGGAUUAGCUAGUUGGCGGGGUAAAGGCCCACCAAGGCGACGAUCCGUAGCUGGUCUGAGAGGAUGAUCAGCCACACUGGAACUGAGACACGGUCCAGACUCCUACGGGAGGCAGCAGUGGGGAAUAUUGGACAAUGGGCGCAAGCCUGAUCCAGCCAUACCGCGUGGGUGAAGAAGGCCUUCGGGUUGUAAAGCCCUUUUGUUGGGAAAGAAAAGCAGCAGGUUAAUACCCCGCUGUUCUGACGGUACCCAAAGAAUAAGCACCGGCUAACUUCGU